rnacentral:SRP_RNA from 14 species
GCCGGGCGUGGUGGCAGGCACCUGUAGUCCCAGCUACUCGGGAGGCUGAGGCAGGAGAAUCACUUGAACCCAGGAGGCAGAGGUU